UUACAAGCUGAUACAACCGCUCCAGAA
rnacentral:sRNA from 1 species